rnacentral:rRNA from 3 species
UACGGAGGGUGCAAGCGUUAUCCGGAUUCACUGGGUUUAAAGGGUGCGUAGGCGGGUUGGUAAGUCCGUGGUGAAAUCUCCGAGCUUAACUCGGAAACUGCCGUGGAUACUAUCAAUCUUGAAUAUCGUGGAGGUAAGCGGAAUAUGUCAUGUAGCGGUGAAAUGCUUAGAUAUGACAUAGAACACCAAUUGCGUAGGCAGCUUACUACACGAUCAUUGACGCUGAGGCACGAAAGCGUGGGGAGCAAACAGG